rnacentral:lncRNA from 1 species
AUUCCCUCCUGCUCUCCCUUCGCUCCAUAAGAAAUAGCUGUUGCAUCAGUAAGUUCCUGACCAUCUUGACCAUAAAGACAGAGAACUUUCAGAUAGCAUCAUGUGCCCUCUGCAGCCCAUUCCCCCUACCGCCACCAGACGCUAGGCACUGCAUGGGAACAGAAGAUAUAGACAGGAAAUGCCCAAGGAACCGUUCUCUGGAUAAGAAUCUGCCUACCGUUGAGUUUUCAAUAGAGGAGAAACAGUAAUGCCCUUUGGGUCUGGAUCUUUCUGUUUGAUACCAGGUAAGCAACCUUGUUUCAUUUCCAUUCACUGAUAUACAAAACUCAUGAAAUUUAUGAAAAAUGGAUCAAGGGUCUUCCCUCUUCCAAAGUUAACUCAAGAAAUGUCACUAAAACCUACCCCGAGUUUCUGGGAUUUUGUAUAGAACAGAACAUCCUGGUAGUGUUGGGCGCAGUCUGGGUCCACAUCUCUGAUAUUAGCAGUGGGCAGCAGCAAGGUAUCUAAAGUCUUCAGAGGGUUCCCUGCGUCGAUGGCUUCAUUGAUGUACCCGAGAACUACCAUUCCUGCAGAGAGAGGAGCAAGGGUUCUAAGUCACGGCACCGUACCCACUUCUCCAUCGUGCUACGGGCUCCAAGGAGCUGAAGAUAGACGCGGUGCUGCUGGAGGUAAGAGGUGAAUGCAGAGAAUCAACUGCCUUUCUGUAUGUGAAUGAUGUGCAAUAGAUCCCCAUCACAAAUCCACUCCAGGGGGAAAGUAAUGCACACUUAGGAAUAAUUUAAAAAGCAUGACACCUAUAAACCAAGAACUAGGAAACAACUCAGUGGCAACCAAAACACAGGGGAAGGCAUCUCGUGGUUGUAGACGUAAGACAAUGUUGUAAAGGUAGAGGUACUCCUCAAGGGGGGUUGAGGGGAACCGGGAGGCAAGGUUGUGGUAACAAAGAAAAAAAGAAAUACUCCUCAAAUUGACAAAUUGAUAAAUUGACAUACAGUUCCGGAGAAACUCCUGCAAAACAAAACAAAACAAAAACAAAACAAAACAAACGCUGGAGCCUUUUCAUAAAGCAAAAUGUGAUAAAUGACACCCGGAUGCACAGAAAACACAGGGAGCUCAAACAACCAAUGCAAUCCUGAAAGAAGGAAAUGCCGGGGGACUUUCCCCAUUUCAAAAGUCAUUACAAAGCUACAGCAACAGCGACUAGUUCUACAGAGUGCUGGCAUGAGGAAAGCCAUACAGAUGAGCCAAACAGAACUGGGAUUCCAGAAAUUGUCCCUUUUGCUUAUGCUCAACUGCUUUUCCCUGACAAGGUUGCCAAAACAAUUCAAUGGGCAGAAAUAGUCUAUAAAGACUGUUGCUAUAGAGCAACUGGUGCUGGGUCAACCAUAUGCCCACCUGUACGAACACACUUGGACCUAUAUAUUAAACCCUGCACACAAAUGAACUUAAAAUAGAACCAAGGCCUAAAUGCAAAGACCCAAACGAAAAGUUAGAAAACUCUUAGAAGAAAACAUAGGGAUAUUAUCUUAGUGACUUCAGGCUGAGUAAUUAGCUUUUUGACUAUGGUAUC